UCGAGAAUUUUUCUCAAUGGGCGAAAGCCUGAAGGAGCGACGCCGCGUGGGGGAUGAAUGGCUUCGGCCCGUAAACCCCUGUCAUUCGCGAACAAUGCCUGCGGCUUAAUACGUUGCAGGUUGAUAGUAGCGGAAGAGGAAGGGACGGCUAACUCUGUGCCAGCAGCCGCGGUAAUACAGAGGUCCCAAGCGUUGUUCGGAUUUACUGGGCGUAAAGGGUGCGUAGGCGGUCGGAUAAGUCUGAUGUGAAAUCUCCGGGCUUAACCCGGAAAUGGCAUUGGAUACUAUUCGGCUGGAGGGUUGGAGGGGGGACUGGAAUACUUGGUGUAGCAGUGAAAUGCGUAGAUAUCAAGUGGAACACCAGUGGCGAAGGCGAGUCCCUGGACAACUCCUGACGCUGAGGCACGAAAGCUAGGGGAGCAAACAGGAUUAGAUACCCCCGUAGUCC
rnacentral:rRNA from 1 species